AUUGAACGCUGGCGGCAUGCUUUACACAUGCAAGUCGAACGGUAACAGGCCUUCGGGUGCUGACGAGUGGCGAACGGGUGAGUAAUGCAUCGGAACGUGCCCAGAGGUGGGGGAUAACGCAGCGAAAGCUGUGCUAAUACCGCAUGUGAUCUGAGGAUGAAAGCGGGGGACCAGGCAGCAAUGUUUGGCCUCGCGCCUUUGGAGCGGCCGAUGUCAGAUUAGGUAGUUGGUGGGGUAAAGGCCUACCAAGCCGACGAUCUGUAGCUGGUCUGAGAGGACGACCAGCCACACUGGGACUGAGACACGGCCCAGACUCCUACGGGAUGCAGCAGUGGGGAAUUUUGGACAAUGGGCGCAAGCCUGAUCCAGCAAUGCCGCGUGCGGGAAGAAGGCCUUCGGGUUGUAAACCGCUUUUGUACGGAACGAAAAGGCUCUGGCUAAUACCUGGGGCUGAUGACGGUACCGUAAGAAUAAGCACCGGCUAACUACGUG
rnacentral:rRNA from 1 species